rnacentral:misc_RNA from 1 species
CAAUAAAAAUCCACACCAUGUGAACUGACUAGUACUAAAUGGCGCCCUUGAGGCUGACCGAGCUGUACUAGUUAUUCCAGUACUUCCGUCUGUCACAGCUAGUUUACUAGCGAAGAGUGCUGACGUGCUUGCACGUUCGACAGAUAACUUUUUGUGGUUUUAUACUAAGACUUAUUCAAAGCUUUAU